UACGGGAGGCACCACUGUGGAAUAUUGCACAAUGGGGAAACCCUGAUGCAGCAACGCCGCGUGAGUGAUGACGGCCUUCGGGUUGUAUAGCUCUGUCUUCAGGGACGAUAAUGACGGUGCCUGAGGAGGAAGCCACGGCUAACUACGUGCCAGCAGCCGCGGUAAUACGUAGGUGGCGAGCGUUGUCCGGAUUUACUGGGCGUAAAGGGAGCGUAGGCGGACUUUUAAGUGAGAUGUGAAAUACCCGGGCUCAACUUGGGUGCUGCAUUUCAAACUGGAAGUCUAGAGUGCAGGAGAGGAGAAUGGAAUUCCUAGUGUAGCGGUGAAAUGCGUAGAGAUUAGGAAGAACACCAGUGGCGAAGGCGAUUCUUUGGACUGUAACUGACGCUGAGGCUCGAAAGCGUGGGGAGCAAACAGGAUUAGAUACCCUGGUAGUCCACGCCGUAAAACGAUGAAUACUAGGU
rnacentral:rRNA from 1 species